rnacentral:lncRNA from 1 species
CAUGAGUCCAAAAAGUCAAGAGAAUGUCAAGCUAGAAAGAUGGUUCAUGGUGGUUGACCAGAGAAAGUCAACUAGUCAAAACUGGGGUUCCAUAGACCCUAUCUCCUUCAAUUUUUGUCAUAUGAAAAUGAUUCCAAGAGAAACGUUACUCAAAAUGACAUUCCAAAAAACUUUAAUGUUGAAGUCUAGACGUAGUUUUGCUUGGAAAGUCAUUUUUUAUGGUGAAAGACUAUAGGUCAUUUUGUCUGAACCCUAGUUUUGAGGUCAACUUUCCAAGACGAUAACUUGCUCAAUUUUUAUGAGAUGAAAUCCAUUAAAUUCUAAUGAUCAAAUUCAAGAUGUUUACUUCUACUUUUAUGUUUGGAGGAAGUUCAAAUUCAACUUGAAAAUGCAUGUGCCAAGAAGAAACAUUAUAGGUCAUUUUGGCCCAAGUCCAUUGAACAAGUGAUAUUCCUCAACUUCUAAAAUGCAUAACUCCUUCAUGCAAAAUCCAAAUGAGGUCAAAUUUGUGACUAAAUUGAAUAGGUUUGAAAGAGCUACAACUUUCAUUAAAGAACGCUUCUCAUUUGAAGUCCAUAGAAAAAGUUAUUCAAGGUGGAAAAAGUGAACAUUUGACUUGGGACUUAGAAAAUUUUCAAAUAUGUUUGAUUUCCCAAACUUCCAACUGAAAAUUCAUCAUGAUACAAGCUUCAAAUGAAAAAGUGUUCAACAUGAAAGUUGUUUCCCUUGACCUCACCAUUCCAAAACGUCCAAGAUCACCUCAUUUGGCCAAAGUAACAUAGGACUAGAGCAUGGGUGCAAGUUGAAGGACCAUUUGGAUGUUUUCCACUUCCAUUUUUCAUACACAAUUGCAUGGCCUUCCAACUUGAAUUCAGCAUGAUGCACACUCAUUUUUGGAUCAGAACACAUCAUUUCAUGGGCCUAGCACAUUACAUCAUCCUACACAUAUAUCAUCCUCCAUGAGUCCAAAAAGUCAAGAGAAUGUCAAGCUAGAAAGAUGGUUCAUGGUGGUUGACCAGAGAAAGUCAACUAGUCAAAACUGGGGUUCCAUAGACCCUAUCUCCUUCAAUUUUUGUCAUAUGAAAAUGAUUCCAAGAGAAACGUUACUCAAAAUGACAUUCCAAAAAACUUUAAUGUUGAAGUCUAGACGUAGUUUUGCUUGGAAAGUCAUUUUUUAUGGUGAAAGACUAUAGGUCAUUUUGUCUGAACCCUAGUUUUGAGGUCAACUUUCCAAGACGAUAACUUGCUCAAUUUUUAUGAGAUGAAAUCCAUUAAAUUCUAAUGAUCAAAUUCAAGAUGUUUACUUCUACUUUUAUGUUUGGAGGAAGUUCAAAUUCAACUUGAAAAUGCAUGUGCCAAGAAGAAACAUUAUAGGUCAUUUUGGCCCAAGUCCAUUGAACAAGUGAUAUUCCUCAACUUCUAAAAUGCAUAACUCCUUCAUGCAAAAUCCAAAUGAGGUCAAAUUUG